GUCUACAGAGUGAGUUCCAGGAAAGCCUGA
rnacentral:piRNA from 1 species